UGCCUUCGGGAACUGUGAGACAGGUGCUGCAUGGCUGUCGUCAGCUCGUGUUGUGAAAUGUUGGGUUAAGUCCCGCAACGAGCGCAACCCUUAUCCUUUGUUGCCAGCGGUCCGGCCGGGAACUCAAAGGAGACUGCCAGUGAUAAACUGGAGGAAGGUGGGGAUGACGUCAAGUCAUCAUGGCCCUUACGACCAGGGCUACACACGUGCUACAAUGGCGCAUACAAAGAGAAGCGACCUCGCGAGAGCAAGCGGACCUCAUAAAGUGCGUCGUAGUCCGGAUUGGAGUCUGCAACUCGACUCCAUGAAGUCGGAAUCGCUAGUAAUCGUGGAUCAGAAUGCCACGGUGAAUACGUUCCCGGGCCUUGUACACACCGCCCGUCACACCAUGGGAGUGGGUUGCAAAAGAAGUAGGUAGCUUAACCUUCGGGAGGGCGCUUACCACUUUGUGAUUCAUGACUGGGGUGAAGUCGUAACAAGGUAACCGUAGGGGAACCUGC
rnacentral:rRNA from 1 species